AUCGCUUCUCCACCUUUUGGCUAAGAUCAAGUGUAGUAUCUGUUCUUAUCAGUUCAAUAAGGAAUUUUGGUGAAAGAGUCCCCCAGUUUAAUGCUUAUGAUUGAACCAUGUCAUGGGGAUUGUUGGACUCAUUCUUAUGGUCCCCAUAUAUGCCGAUAAUGCCACGUGGCAUUGUUCCUUGUUUGCAUAGGCACAUU